rnacentral:rRNA from 1 species
AGUGAAGCGGGAAAAGCUCAAAUUUAAAAUCUGGCGGUCUUUGGCCGUCCGAGUUGUAGUCUGGAGAAGUGCUUUCCGCGCUGGACCGUGUAUAAGUCUCUUGGAACAGAGCGUCAUAGAGGGUGAGAAUCCCGUCUUUGACACGGACUACCAGUGCUUUGUGAUGCGCUCUCAAAGAGUCGAGUUGUUUGGGAAUGCAGCUCAAAAUGGGUGGUGAAUUCCAUCUAAAGCUAAAUAUUGGCGAGAGACCGAUAGCGAACAAGUACCGUGAGGGAAAGAUGAAAAGCACUUUGGAAAGAGAGUUAAACAGUACGUGAAAUUGCUGAAAGGGAAACGCUUGAAGUCAGUCGCGUCUGCCGGAACUCAGCCUUCCUUUUGGUUGGUGCACUUUCUGGUAGACGGGCCAGCAUCGAUUUUGACCGUAGGAUAAGGGCUGGAGAAAUGUGGCACCUUCGGGUGUGUUAUAGUCUUCAGUCGCAUACUACGGUUGGGAUCGAGGACCGCAGCGCGCCGCAAGGCAGGGGUUCGCCCACUUUCGCGCUUAGGAUGCUGGCAUAAUGGCUUUAAACGACCCGUCUUGAAACACGGACCAAGGAGUCUAACAAACCUGCGAGUGUUUGGGUGGAAAACCCGAGCGCGUAAUGAAAGUGAAAGUUGAGACCUCUGUCGUGGAGGGCAUCGACGCCCGGACCUGACGUUCUCUGACGGAUCCGCGGUAGAGCAUGUUUGUUGGGACCCGAAAGAUGGUGAACUAUGCCUGAAUAGGGUGAAGCCAGAGGAAACUCUGGUGGAGGCUCGUAGCGAUUCUGACGUGCAAAUCGAUCGUCAAAUUGGGUAUAGGGGCGAAAGACUAAUCG